rnacentral:rRNA from 1 species
UACCAGCACCCCGAGUGGUCGGGACGUUUUAUUGGGCCUAAAGCAUCCGUAGCCGGUUCUACAAGUCUUCCGUUAAAUCCAACUGCUUAACAGGUGGGCUGCGGAAGAUACUAUAGAGCUAGGAGGCGGGAGAGGCAAGCGGUACUCGAUGGGUAGGGGUAAAAUCCGUUGAUCCAUUGAAGACCACCAGUGGCGAAGGCGGCUUGCCAGAACGCGCUCGACGGUGAGGGAUGAAGCUGGGGGAGCAAACCGG